CCUACGGGGGGCAGCAGUGGGGAAUAUUGGACAAUGGGCGAAAGCCUGAUCCAGCCAUGCCGCGUGUGUGAAGAAGGCCUUCGGGUUGUAAAGCACUUUCAGUGGGGAAGAAAGCCUUGGGGCUAAUACCCUCGAGGAAGGACAUCACCCACAGAAGAAGCACCGGCUAACUCCGUGCCAGCAGCCGCGGUAAUACGGAGGGUGCGAGCGUUAAUCGGAAUUACUGGGCGUAAAGCGCGCGUAGGCGGUCUGAUAAGCCGGUUGUGAAAGCCCCGGGCUCAACCUGGGAACGGCAUCCGGAACUGGCAGGCUAGAGUGCAGGAGAGGAAGGUAGAAUUCCCGGUGUAGCGGUGAAAUGCGUAGAGAUCGGGAGGAAUACCAGUGGCGAAGGCGGCCUUCUGGACUGACACUGACGCUGAGGUGCGAAAGCGUGGGUAGCAAACAGGAUUAGAUACCCUGGUAGUC
rnacentral:rRNA from 1 species